UUUAAAUGUAAAAUAAAUAUACUAAAGGAGUAAUAGUUAUGUUCUUUAAAUUUAAAGAUUUUGGCGGUAUUUUAGUCUAUUCAGAGGAACCUGUUCUGUAAUUGAUAGUCCACGAAUUACUUUACUUUAUUUUAAUAAUUUGUAUAUCGUCGUAUAUAAAGAAUUUUAUAAGAAUAUAAAUUUUUAAGAUUUUUAAUUAGUAAAUAUAUCAGAUCAAGGUGCAGUUUAUAAUAAAGUAGAAAUGGGUUACAAUAAAUUUAUUUAUAUGGAUUGAUGAUUGAAAAAUUGUUUUGAAGGUGGAUUUGAUAGUAAUAAAAUUUAAUUUAAUUUUAUGAUUAUAGCUCUAAAAUAUGU
rnacentral:rRNA from 1 species